GUUACAUGUUUCAUUGAUAAUUAUGUAGUUUCAAUGGCCAGGUCACGAUAUUCCGUGAUUUUUUCAGGCUCUUUUUUUUCAAUUUUGGCGUCUCCCAGUACAGUGAUAUCAAUAAAUUGUACACUUCAGUUUUCAACAACUGUGAUAUCUGACAUGUUGUGUUCCAAAUGACAAUCCGUCUGUGUUCGAAAGUCCCACAAGAUCUUCACCAUCUCAUUUUCAACAACGUUUUCUACUUUAUGUUCCCAUGACUUUUCAAAUGCAGGUAAGGCAUAUCUUUUAGAUAAUGACCAGUGGAUUAAUUUAGCAACUCGGUUGUGUCUAGCUUUGUAAUCAGUUUGUGCGAUUUUGCUGCACUCACAUAUUAAAUGUGAAACAGUUUCAACUUUGUCAUUGCAAAGUCGGCAGUUUGGAUUGUCAGUGGAUUUUUAUAUUUUCACUUUCAUGGUAUUGUAGUGCUUGUUCUUAGCAUCAAGUAUUAAACUUUCCGUUUCUUUCUUGAUAGUUCCCGUCUUAAGCCAUGUCCAUGCCAGUUGUUAUCACAUUUUUCUUCAAUGCUUUUCAAGUGCUAUCCAUGCACAGCUUUGGUUUUCCAUCUAUUUAAUCUGUCAUCUAGCUGUUUUUCCUUAUAUUCUGCCUUUGUUUCUGUUGUUUUUAUAAUGUCCUCUAUUUUCACAGCCUGCAGCAAUUUUUCUGUACUUUGGUUCACAUAGUCAUUCAAACUUUGUUUUCCUUUUUCUACAGUUUGAUGGAUUUGCAAUAGCCCUCUGCUCCCUAUUCUUCUUGGCAGGUACAACCUGUCGAUGUCACUUCGUGGAUGUAAACCAUGAAUAUUAUCAGAGAAAUAAAUUACAGCUGGUAUUUAUUAGAGCUGGUAUUUAUUAGAGCUGUGGUAGUGCAGUGCUUAAAUGCAAUACUGCAGGCUACAUCUGCUGAAUGCUGGCUGCCUGCAAUUUGGCAAUUUGAAUCUCACCAGGCUCAAGGUUGACUCAGCCUUCCAUCCUUCUGAGAAGUAUUAUCUCCUGGCUCUUCUGUGCCAAUCAAAGCAAAAAAAUCUUCUAGAUUUUCACCUUCUGCUCUAGCCAAGCAAAAAUUACUGUAUUUUAAAGUGCCUGCUCCAUCCAAGAGAAUCUGUAAAGUUAAACACAAACUGAAGUACCAAAUAGCAGCUUCUUGAAUUAAAAAGCAAUUAUUUAAUUAUUUUCAGAAAUCACGUAUCAAUGCAAAUAUAUGUUCCCUUACCUUCCUAGGUGUGAGAUCACAGAAAAUAAUUCCAAGCUCAUGUAUAUGAUGCAGUCCAGUAACCAAAUCAAUACCAAAUUCUCUGAUGACAUUCUCAGGUAGAUAUUCAUCUUGAGCAAUUAAAAUUUCUAAUGACCCACCUAGGAAUUAUUUAUGAAUAGUCAUUAAAAAACAUCUCUAAUUUCUAUGAAAAAAAUAUAAUUUUCAAAAAUGAAAGGAGAAGGAGAAAUCUGCUCAGGUUUUAUUAUGCAUUGCCUGAUGGAAAGAGGAAUGGUGGCAUCUUAUUUAAUAAAUCUUACAUAAAAAUGUCCUUUCCUGUCUCCACCUAAAUCUGUACUAGUUUAAGAACAUUCCCUUUCUGCAUUUCAAGUCAAUGUCUAUGCCUAUCGUUAGUCUAUUUAACAGUAGGUAUGUCAGAAUACAAAUUUAUUUAGAACAUAAAUUUAUUUCAAGAUAAGUGAUAAAAAUAUUAUCUAAAAAUUCAGUAAUUUCAAAAUGACACAAGAAAUAGGCAUACAAUAUGGAGAGAGUUAAAUCCAAAGAAAAACCAAUAUACAUUCUAUUCGAACAGAUAUCAAUCAUGGUCUAGAUAUGAAUGCUGCCAGAAAUGAGAACAAACGUCCAAGAGGUUGAUAUAGAAACGAACAUAUGGGCAGAUCAUAACCCAAUAAAAAUCAGGUGGAAGGGAUAAAGGAAGAAACACUGAAUCAAACUAUACUAAAGGACAAGGAGUUUAUACAAAUAAUGGAAAAAGAAAUAGACUUCUUUUUAAAGAAAACAGAAAAGAAGAAAUAUCAUUACAAAAUGUUUGGGACACGGCUAAAGCAUACAUGCAAGGAUUAGCCAUAAUACAUAUAGCAAGAAGAAACAAGAAAAAGAAACAACAGCAGAAAACACUACAAGAACAACUCAAAAAGCUGGAGAUAGAAUUGCAGAAAGAUCUGCAAAAAAGUAAUGUAAAAGAGAAAAUGGAAUUAACAAAACAUAAAUUUAAUUUAAUAGAAAAAGAAGAAAUGGCACAAAAAAUUAAAAUGGCAAAACAAAACUUUUUUGAAAAUGCAAAUAAGCCAGGUAGAUGGCUAGCAUACAAGCUGAAAAUAGAAAAAGAGAAGAAAAUGAUACAUAAACUGAUAGAUGAGAAGGGGAUCCUUCACCAUCAAAAUGAAGGUAAAAAGAAAAUAAUCCAGGAAUUUUAUGAGAAACUUUACACUCAAGAAAAAGUGUCAGAAGAUAUAAUAAAACAAUACUUAGAAAAGGCUGCAUUAUCUAAAAUACCAGAAACAGUUAAAUGAAAAAAUAAUAAUGAUGGAAUUAACAGAAGCAAUUACUAGGCAAAAAAGCAAUAAAACACCUGGACCAGAUGGGCUCCCGGCAGAACAUUAUAAACAACUACAAGAUGUCUUAUGCUUGUCAAUGUUGGAGAUCUAUAAUAACGUGUUGUUAAGGGCCAAUCCUCCCAAAACAUGGGCAGAAGCAAAUAUUACCUUAAUACCAAAAGAAGACUUAGAUUUACAGCAGAUAAAAAACUAUAGACCAGUACUACAAAAUAUAUGCCUCAAUAUAUUUUGAGAGACUAAAAAUGUUCCUGAAUGAAUUUAUACACCUGGACCAGAAUGGUUUCUUACCCAAAAGACCAAUUAAAAAUAAUAUUAGAAUCAUCUUGAAUACAUUGGAAUACUAUGAAGUACACUCUGAAAAACAACUAGCGCUCUUAGAUGCACAAAAAGCCUUUGAUAAUCUGAAUUGGCAAUUCAUGAUACUACAACUAAAAUGUAUUUGGUGAAAUAUUUAUAAAUAUGAUUAAGGCAAUAUAUUCUAAACUAUUUGUAAUACUAUCAAAAGUGAUAGUAAAUGGGAUGACAGAGAAUUUCAACAUAAGUAAGGGUGCAAGAAAAGGAUAUCCUCUGUCCCCCCUAUUAUUUAUACUAACUUUGGAAGCCUUGAUUAGAAAGAUCAGACAAGACCCAGAAAUAAAAGGUAUGGAAAUAAAAAAAGAAAAUUGCAAAUUACAGGCGUUUGCGGACGAUCUAGUAUUUAUACUAGAAGAACCACUAGAAAUGCGAUCUAAAUUAAUAAAAAAAAUAGAAGAUUUUGGUGAAGUAACAGGAUUAAAAAUAAAUAAACAAAAGAUUAAGAUGCUGGUAAAGAAUCUUACAAAUAAACAGAUAAAUGAAUUGAUGGAAAAGAUAGACAUUCAGAUAACUAAAAAAGUAAAAUAUUUAGGAAUUUGGUUAACGGCGAGAUGUGCAACCAUUAAAGAAGAUGAUUAUUUUAAAUUAAUACAACAAAUAAAGAUAUACCUGGAAAAAUGGAGAAACCUACAGCUGUCAAUUGUUGGAAGAAUAGUUACAAUGAACAUUUUGCCGAAGUUAUUAUUUCUGUUUCAAACAAUUCCCAUAAAACUAGAAAAAAAGUUUUUGAGGAUUUAAACAAAUGGAAUUUAAAGUUUUUUUGUCAAGGGAAAAAAACAAGAAUAAAACUGAAAAUGCUACAAGAAUCUAAAAAUAAGGGGGGAUUUGGGUUACCUGAUUAGGAGUUGUACUACCAGGCCUCAGUGCUUACAUGGGUGAAAGAAUGGGUUAAUUUAAGGAACAAAAAAUAUUGACUUUAGAAGGACAUGAUUUACAAUUGGGGUGGCAUGCAUUUAUGUGGUAUGGGAAAAAUAAAAUGCAUAGAUAUUUUCAGACAUUAUAUUAGAAAUGCUCUGCUUUUAGUAUGGAAAAGAAUUAAAGAGAAACAUUACAUGAAAAUACUGAUCUGGCUAUCCACGAUGGAAGCACUAAUACAUCCAAAUGUUCUUGAACUGGAAAAAAUGUGAUAUCAGCAGCGAGAAUUGUGUAUACACAAAACUGGAAAAAUGAAAAUAUACCUAUAGAGGAAAAUGUAAUAAAGAAAAUACUAGAAUGUGCUGAAAUGGAUAGAUUAACAUUGAAAAUUAAGGACAAGGAGGAAACAGAAUACUUUUUAACUUGGGAAUUAUUUUAUCAAUGGUUAGAAAAUAGAAGCAGAAGUUAAAAAUUUAGAAUUAGGGAGGGUAAGUAAAUAAAAACGAAGUAAAUGUGUAAUUAAAUAAUGAAUAUUGAAUAAGGAUAAGUAAACAUGAUUAAUAGACUUGGACAAUAAUGGUUACAAAUGUGAUGGUUAUAUGAUGUCUAUAAUGCUUGAUAUUAUUAACUAAUUAUAGACAAAACCAAACAGUGUUUAAUUAAAUAACGGAAAAUGUUUAAUAAGGAUAUGUGAAGAUUAUAAUGAAUAGAUUUUGAGAAUAAUAGUUAUAGCUAUUGUGUGUAUAAGAUUUAUUAUUUGUAUUUAAAAGAGAUUAUACCCAGUCAGAACACUGCCAUUGUGGAUAUGAAAAUUUUAUAUAUAAUAAAGAAAAUUGCAUAAUAAAAAAUAAUUUUAAAAAAGAACAUAAAUCCCUGA